rfam:Clostridium cadaveris strain NLAE-zl-G419 genome assembly, contig: Ga0070261_105
GGAACUUGUACUCGUUGCGGUGCAACGUUAGUUAAAGA